CGCGCUCCCUACAAUUAUUAGUUUAAUUGAGCAUGUGGCCAUCACGAGGAUGAUGUAACACCAGCAGUUACGGGACUUAGUCGAUAACUGCCAAAAAGGUGU
rnacentral:sRNA from 1 species